GACGAACGCUGGCGGCGUGCUUAACACAUGCAAGUCGAACGGAAAGGCCCCUUUGGGGGUACUCGAGUGGCGAUCGGGUGAGUAACACGUGAGUAACCUGCCCUUGACUUCGGGAUAACUUCAGGAAACUGGGGCUAAUACCGGAUAGGAAUCCUUGCUGCAUGGUGGGGGUUGGAAAGCUUCGGCGGUUUUGGAUGGACUCGCGGCUUAUCAGCUUGUUGGUGGGGUAGUGGCUUACCAAGGCUUUGACGGGUAGCCGGCCUGAGAGGGCGACCGGCCACAUUGGGACUGAGAUACGGCCCAGACGCCUACGGGAGGCAGCAGUGGGGAAUAUUGCACAAUGGGCGGAAGCCUGAUGCAGCAACGCCGCGUGCGGGAUGACGGCCUUCGGGUUGUAAACCGCUUUCAGCAGGGGCGAAGCUUGUGGUGACGGUACCUGCAGAAGAAGCACCGGCUAACUACGUG
rnacentral:rRNA from 1 species